rnacentral:sRNA from 1 species
CCUUAGCCCUGAUAGAAAUGAAAAUCCUUUUGAUAAAAAACGGUAAUUUUUUCUUAUAAAAAAAGAGCUACUCCCGACCAUUCGGGAGAAGCUCUUGUUUUAUUUAGAAAAAUACUGUUUAGUUCAAAAGAUUGAAAUGGAUAGCAGGAAUAGCU